UCCCUCCCCCUGAAGUUCUCCAUUAAUUAUCUUGCCUUAGAUUGAUAGCUUAUAUCCCUUUCGAUUUAUAUAUCAAUUUAUUGGUUGUGUAUCAAUCUACAUUGGUAGUAUUUUGGUCCGCAUCUUUUUGAAUAUAUUCACUUUUUGAUCAUAGUUGAUCUAUGUGUAGCGCAAACACAUGCUAUUACACCGUAGCCUAGAUAUGGGUGCCUGAGUAAUGGUCAUGGAAAAUCAAUUCUAAAAUAACUAUC
rnacentral:lncRNA from 1 species